rnacentral:rRNA from 1 species
AGCGAACGUUAGCGGCGCGCCUAACACAUGCAAGUCGCACGAGAAAGGGAGCAAUCCCCGGUACAGUGGCGCACGGGUGAGUAACACGUAGAUGACCUUCCCUGGAGUGGUGGAUAACCUGCCGAAAGGCGGGCUAAUACAGCAUGGGACCACAUGGUUUUGACCGAGUGGUGAAAGCGGGCCUCUGUUCACAAGCUCGCGCUCUGGGAUGGGUCUGCGUCCCAUCAGCUAGUUGGUGAGGUAAUGGCUCACCAAGGCAUCGACGGGUAGCUGGUCUGAGAGGAUGAUCAGCCACACUGGCACUGAGAUACGGGCCAGACUCCUACGGGAGCAGCAGUGAGGAAUAUUGCGCAAUGGGCGAAAGCCUGACGCAGCGACGCCGCAUGGGGGAUGAAGG